rnacentral:rRNA from 1 species
AUGUCGGCCUGGCACGCGCCGGCGAUGCGCAGGAGGCUGGAGGACGACGCGCGGGCGCCCGACCCGGCGGCGGCGUUCCCGCCGAGGGACAGCACGACGAGGUCGCCGGCGCCGGCGGCGAAGGGGAACUCGCGCUUGUUGUGGAGCACGUGGGUGACGGCCACGGCGGUCGGGUUCGCCACGCCGGCGCCGGUCCCGCCGGCGGCCGCGGCGGCGCGCAGCCUGGUGCGCCCGUCGAGGGACGCCACCUCGGCCGGCCCCACGCCGCACGCGGCCGCGCAGACCUGCCAGAGCGGGAAGUCGAACGCCUCGGCCUCCACGGCGUCGGCGCGGGAGAAGACGAACGGCGCGGCCGUGGCCAUGUCGUAG